rnacentral:lncRNA from 1 species
ACAAGCAAAUGCGGGUCAUCAUACUGGCGCUCUCUGAUGCGAUCAUACAAAGAAGACCGGUAAACCACACAAGCCAGCACCCGAUUGGCUCAGAAAUAUCUAACCUCACCAUCUGAUUGGCCAAGUCCUGAACAUCGACUACAAGGGGCCUCUCCCCAAAAAGAAUGUACGCCAAACUACCCAUACUAAUAUUCUUCCGGCUCAAAGCAUCGGCUACUACAUUGACCUUCCCGGGAUGAUACAAAAUGGUAAUAUCAUAAUCCUUGAGUAACUCAAGCCAUCUCCGCUGUCUCA